rnacentral:rRNA from 1 species
AUUGAACGCUGGCGGAAUGCUUUACACAUGCAAGUCGAACGGCAGCACGGGUGCUUGCACCUGGUGGCGAGUGGCGAACGGGUGAGUAAUGCACCGGAACGUAUCCAAUAAUGGGGGGAUAACGCACCGAAAGGUGUGCUAAUACCGCAUACGCCCUGAGGGGGAAAGCGGGGGAUCGUAAGACCUCGCGUUAAUGGAGCGGCCGAUGCCGGAUUAGCUAGUUGGUGAGGUAAAGGCUCACCAAGGCGACGAUCCGUAGCUGGUCUGAGAGGACGACCAGCCACACUGGAACUGAGACACGGUCCAGACUCCUACGGAGGCAGCAGUGGGAAUUUUGGACAAUGGGCGCAAGCCUGAUCCAGCCAUUCCGCGUGAGUGAAGAAGGCC